rnacentral:rRNA from 1 species
UACGUAGGGGGCAAGCGUUGUCCGGAUUUAUUGGGCGUAAAGAGCUCGUAGGUGGUUCGGUAAGUCGGAUGUGAAACCUCCAGGCUCAACCUGGAGGGGUCAUUCGAUACUGCCGUGACUAGAGUUCGGUAGGGGAGUGUGGAAUUCCUGGUGGAGCGGUGAAAUGCGCAGAUAUCAGGAGGAACACCCGUAGCGAAGGCGGCACUCUGGGCCGAUACUGACACUGAGGAGCGAAAGCGUGGGGAGCGAACAGG